AUGCACGCUGGCGGCGUGCCUAAUACAUGCACGUCGAGCGAACAGACGAGGAGCUUGCUCCUCUGACGUUAGCGGCGGACGGGUGAGUAACACGUGGAUAACCUACCUAUAAGACUGGGAUAACUUCGGGAAACCGGAGCUAAUACCGGAUAAUAUAUUGAACCGCAUGGUUCAAUAGUGAAAGACGGUUUUGCUGUCACUUAUAGAUGGAUCCGCGCCGCAUUAGCUAGUUGGUAAGGUAACGGCUUACCAAGGCGACGAUGCGUAGCCGACCUGAGAGGGUGAUCGGCCACACUGGAACUGAGACACGGUCCAGACUCCUACGGGAGGCAGCAGUAGGGAAUCUUCCGCAAUGGGCGAAAGCCUGACGGAGCAACGCCGCGUGAGUGAUGAAGGUCUUCGGAUCGUAAAACUCUGUUAUUAGGGAAGAACAAAUGUGUAAGUAACUAUGCACGUCUUGACGGUACCUAAUCAAAAAGCCACGGCUAACUACGUG
rnacentral:rRNA from 1 species